rnacentral:rRNA from 1 species
CCUACGGGAGGCAGCAGUGAGGAAUCUUGCACAAUGGGCGCAAGCCUGAUGCAGCAACGCCGCGUGAGUGACGAAGGCCUUAGGGUUGUAAAGCUCUUUCAGCGGGGACGAUAAUGACGGUACCCGCAGAAGAAGCCCCGGCUAACUUCGUGCCAGCAGCCGCGGUAAU